rnacentral:rRNA from 1 species
UACGUAGGGGGCAAGCGUUGUCCGGAAUCAUUGGGCGUAAAGCGUGCGCAGGCGGUUAUGUAAGACAGAUGUGAAAUCCCCGGGCUCAACCUGGGAACUGCAUUUGUGACUGCAUAGCUAGAGUACGGUAGAGGGGAUGGAAUUCGCGUGUAGCAGUGAAAUGCGUAGAUAUGCGGAGGAACACCGAUGGCGAAGGCAAUCCCUGGACCUGUACUGACGCUCAUGCACGAAAGGCGUGGGAGCAACAGG